AGAGCUUAUCGAAAUGACGUACAAAUAAUAUAUUACAAUAAACCUGCCUGUAUGUAGUUACCCAUUUCUGCGGCAGUAGUGUUAUUGUGCAGCUACGCGUAAGUACGGAGUAUUUUUCAAUUUGAAAACGAACCGUAUAAUAAUAUUCCCGUGCACGUCGUAUUACCGUUAUAUUAUUAUUACUGUCGGCACACGACUCACAAUAAUAUUAUUGAAAAUAUUAUACAGGGCGAUCGCGUAAGACAGUUAUUAUUAUCUAGGAAAGCGUGUAAACUUUUUCACAAUUUUUUUUUGUUCGGAAAAUUUAUUAAACGAGCAAAUUCAAAAAUAUCGCACUCACAAGGGCUGGCCACGCAGUUUACUAUCCCAGAGGAUAAUGGGCAGCUUCCCCUGUAUUUAGAUGGUAAUCCGCGGUGCUAAAUUUG